UAUCGGGUCUUCGCCGUGACGGAAUCGAAGAGGACGGGUGCGGGUUGGGGGCGCGACGCAUAGCUUCAGGCUUAGCGAACACGAUAGGCAGGUUAUCUGCACUACGCAGGAUAGCCGACAGUUGUCCUCACUCGAUUUCGACGGGGACGUUGACCCGUUCCGAAUGACUUUGUGAAGCGACCACUAUUUCGAGACGAGUAGCCCGCGCGCGACAGUGCGCUCGAGCGAAAUAUGCUUUCGCGGAAGCAAACGACAUUCGGAAUUGCCUCGUCAGCUUUAGACACAGUCGUGCUGAAGAGCGUAUAUGAUUGCCCUACAGCGCGAUUUCAUGGCAAUGAUUGUUGCUGAACCUGGUUGUUUCUCACAACCCUUUUUAUUCACGGUGCUCUGCUUAAUAUCCAGUUCUGAGGUUUACUUUCAGGCCAUUCUUUCCCGAGUGCCGCCGACCUUCGACGAGUCCAUGUAUGGAACGCAGCACGCUGGCUACUCUGGACAUGGCGAGUAGGCGCGUCUUUAUUAUUAUUUUCAUUGUUUAACAAGCUACUUUUGCGCCUCUUCAGGUACAACAAGGCUUGCAGAUGUCCCGUUCCUGGACGAGCUGUGCAUUAAGACGGUCCGGAGAGAUUGCCUUGAGCACCACGCGUCCUGUGGGUGCGUCGGCAGCACUUCUACAUCCAAUCGCCAAUUCUCCUGUCAGCAGCAAGGAGUUCAGUAAGCGCCAUGCCCUAGUCUUGCUUACCCGGGUCCGUCUUCCAUUGCUGCCCAUGACAAGGACUUCAAGCUGGCUCCUGCAUAUCGACUCUCAUGUCUACCUUCCUCAUACUACCAAGGGCCAUCACUCGUAGCAUGGCCGAAGGCAUUGCCACCUUUGAACUACUUCGCUGAUGGCGUCGUCCGGGCAGAUGGCGCACUGCUGCUACUCUUCGAAUUCUGUUCCUACCCCGCAUUUGGUCCUCCCGACUCAUUGACUUAAGUAACAACCAUGGCAAGUAACCCCAACAUCUACUACGUCUAGCCUGAUCGAUCUGCCGGGGACUCUGAUCCAGUCAAGUCUUCGUCUACGCCUUGCCUGAUCGCUUUGCCGGGGACUCCGCUCUGGUCAUGUCUUCGUUUACGUCUUGCCUGAUCGAUGUGCCGGUGACUCUGAUCCAGUCAAGUCUUCGUCUACUUCUGGCCUAAUCGAUCUGCUGGGGACUCUGAUCCAGUCAAGUCUUCGCACGUUUAUAAGACUUUGAUGUGUCCUAUACACUGUGCCCUGCAUGUGGGUGUUCUCCCCCCUCGACCCUCUACCGGAUGUGUGCUGCACUUUUUUCCUCUUUUUUAUCAAGGGAUGUGUCAAUAGUUCAGUGUGACAAACUACCAUAGAAAGAGUUGCGUUGCUCAGCCAAUGGAUGGCUCAUCUAACAGUUAAAAUAUCAGUGAGCAGAA
rnacentral:lncRNA from 1 species